rnacentral:rRNA from 1 species
AUGCAUGUGAGCUGGCUCUGGGGAAUGGGGAUGGGAUCACAAGGAGAUGGUAACAGACAAGGGAGCUGUUUGUGCUUGGAAGGUUGCCGACUCAAGGGCCAUCACGGCCUAGUGCUGCAGGAAAGAUGGCGUACGGCUCUAUGCCUCUGGCUAGCUAGCAUCCUUUACCGCUGCAGCUUAAGCUUUCCGGUGAAUGAAUUUCCAGCUGCUGAUCGUGCCUGCGCGUGGAGGGUGUCAUGUCGUGUCAUUCCGAUCGGGUGCAUGGUCGAAAUCGAAUGGCUCAAUCAGUCAGCUGGCCACAGUGCGUCCCGUGAUCACCCACUAGCCAGGGUUCAUGGUCUUGCACUACGCGGCACGUACGUACGUUGGUCGUAG